rnacentral:rRNA from 1 species
CCUACGGGAGGCAGCAGUAGGGAAUCUUCCGCAAUGGACGAAAGUCUGACGGAGCAACGCCGCGUGAACGAUGAAGGCCUUCGGGUCGUAAAGUUCUGUUGUUAGGGAAGAACAAGUGCUAGUUAAAUAAGCUGGCACCUUGACGGUACCUAACCGGAAAGCCACGGCUAACUACGUGCCAGCAGCCGCGGUAAUACGUAGGUGGCAAGCGUUGUCCGGAAUUAUUGGGCGUAAAGCGCGCGCAGGCGGUUUCUUAAGUCUGAUGUGAAAGCCCCCGGCUCAACCGGGGAGGGUCAUUGGAAACUGGGAAACUUGAGUGCAGAAGAGGAAAGUGGAAUUCCAAGUGUAGCGGUGAAAUGCGUAGAGAUUUGGAGGAACACCAGUGGCGAAGGCGACUUUCUGGUCUGUAACUGACGCUGAGGCGCGAAAGCGUGGGGAGCAAACAGGAUUAGAUACCCUGGUAGUCCACGCUGUAAACGAUGAGUGCUAAGUGUUAGAGGGUUUCCNCCUUUAGUGCUGAAGUUACGCAUUAAGCACUCCGCCUGGGGAUACGGUGCAAGCUGAACUUAAGGAAUUG